rnacentral:rRNA from 1 species
AUGUACCUACGGGGCGCAGCAGUGGGGAAUAUUGCACAAUGGGGGAAACCCUGAUGCAGCGACGCCGCGUGAGUGAAGAAGUAUCUCGGUACGUAAAGCUCUAUCAGCAGGGAAGAAAAAAAGUCUUUGGCUUUGGACGGUACCUGACUAAGAAGCCCCGGCUAACUACGUGCCAGCAGCCGCGGUAAUACGGAGGAUGCGGGCGUUAUCCGGAUUUAUUGGGUUUAAAGGGUGCGCAGGCGGAUUUUUAAGUCAGCGGUCAAAUCGUGGGGCUCAACCCCAUCCAGCCGUUGAAACUGGGGAUC